GACGAAGGGGGCUAGCGUUGUUCGGAAUCACUGGGCGUAAAGCGCACGUAGGCGGAUUGCUAAGUCAGGGGUGAAAUCCUGGAGCUCAACUCCAGAACUGCCUUUGAUACUGGCGAUCUUGAGUCCGGGAGAGGUGAGUGGAACUGCGAGUGUAGAGGUGAAAUUCGUAGAUAUUCGCAAGAACACCAGUGGCGAAGGCGGCUCACUGGCCCGGUACUGACGCUGAGGUGCGAAAGCGUGGGGAGCAAACAGG
rnacentral:rRNA from 1 species